AUAUUGUGCUGAAUUUCUUCAGGCAUUGAGUUACUGAGACCAUUGGGAUACCACCAAGAAUUGGGGUCCAAUCCUUCCGGUUCCAGCCAAAUAAGAUGUCUUGCUUUGUGAGGGAAUCUUGUAACCUUGGCUUCCAAUGACGGGCAAUACCUUGGAGAAAGAAUAUCACCAGCAAGCAUAUGGGGAGCAAAAGCGAGAUUUUUCCUAACAAUUUCAUGCGUCAAUUCAGUUGUAUAAGUUCUGUAGCAAGAACGUUGUGGCAAUGCCGGUGAAAAAUCCCUUUCCAAAUUUAAAAAACUAAAUGUUUCUGGAAUUUCGUCACCUGUCUGCUCUGUCAUUUUUGAUAUAUUUAUGGGAGAGCUCAAUCUGGGAGGUGUACCUGUUUUUAGUCGACCCAUUUUAAAACCUAAAUUGCUAAGACAUUUACUCAAAGGCAAUGAAGGUCGCUCGCCAUAUCGACCAGCAGCUAACUGUGUUAAACCAACAUUUAUUUGUCCUCCUAAGAAAGUACCAGUAGUAAUGACUAUACAACUGGCAGGAAUAGCAGUGCCAUCUUCAAGAACAAUUGAAUCACAAACUUGUUUACCAUCGUCUUCUGUCAAAACAUUAAUAGAGACGGCCGCGCCUUCUCUAACUUGAAGAUUUUUUCUAUAAGUUG